rnacentral:lncRNA from 1 species
UCCUACAUACUGGAUAUACCUGCACCCGAUUCGAUCAAUGAAGAUGCUUCUAAGGAGGAACGGACAUAUAAGAUGUGGAAAGAUGACAGUGUGACUGUCAAAUGCAUCAUGCUUGUCUCGAUGAAAAAUUAGCUUCAGAGGCAGCAUGAGGACAUGGAUGUUCCCUCUAUACUCUUUAAUCUUAAAGAGUUAUAUGGGGAACAAAAUCGAGCUGCUAGAUAUGAGAUAUCCAAGUAGUUGUUCCAUGCCCGUA